rnacentral:rRNA from 1 species
GAUGAACGCUGGCGGCGUGCCUAAUACAUGCAAGUCGAGCGAAUGGAUUGAGAGCUUGCUCUUAUGAAGUUAGCGGCGGACGGGUGAGUAACACGUGGGUAACCUGCCCAUAAGACUGGGAUAACUCCGGGAAACCGGGGCUAAUACCGGAUAACAUUUUGAACCGCAUGGUUCGAAAUUGAAAGGCGGCUUCGGCUGUCACUUAUGGAUGGACCCGCGUCGCGUUAGCUAGUUGGUGAGGUAACGGCUCACCAAGGCAACGAUGCGUAGCCGACCUGAGAGGGUGAUCGGCCACACUGGGACUGAGACACGGCCCAGACUCCUACGGGAGGCAGCGGUAGGGAAUCUUCCGCAAUGGACGAAAGUCUGACGGAGCAACGCCGCGUGAGUGAUGAAGGCUUUCGUGUCGUAAAACUCUGUUGUUAGGGAAGAACAAGUGCUAGUUGAAUAAGCUGGCACCUUGACGGUACCUAACCAGAAAGCCACGGCUAACUACGUGCCAGCCGCCGCCGUAA